rnacentral:rRNA from 1 species
UACGGAGGGGGCGAGCGUUGUUCGGAAUUACUGGGCGUAAAGGGCGCGUAGGCGGCCCUGUCAGUCAGGCGUGAAAGCCCCGGGCUCAACCUGGGAUGUGCGUUUGAUACUGCAGGGCUCGAGACCGGAAGAGGAUGGCGGAAUACCCAGUGUAGAGGUGAAAUUCGUAGAUAUUGGGUGGAACACCAGUGGCGAAGGCGGCCAUCUGGUCCGGAUCUGACGCUGAGGCGCGAAAGCGUGGGGAGCAAACAGGAUUAGAUACCCGCGUAGUCC